AUUGAACGCUGGCGGCAGGCCUAACACAUGCAAGUCGAACGAGUGGCGGACGGGUGAGUAAUGUCUGGGAAACUGCCCGAUGGAGGGGGAUAACUACUGGAAACGGUAGCUAAUACCGCAUACCAUCGGAUGUGCCCAGAUGGGAUUAGCUAUUAGGUGGGGUAACGGCUCACCUAGGCGACGAUCCCUAGCUGGUCUCAGAGGAUGACCAGCCCAACUGGAACUGAGACACGGGCCAAACUCCUACGGGAGGCAGCAGUGGGGAAUAUUGCACAAUGGGCGCAAGCCUGAUACAGCCAUGCCGCGUGGAUGAAGAAGGCCGUCGGGUUGUAAAGUACUUUCAGCGAGGAGGCGUGACUCGCAGAAGAAGCAUCGGCUAACUCCGUGCCAGCAGCCGCGGUAAUUC
rnacentral:rRNA from 1 species